GCGCGGCCGUGGCCGCGGCCCGCCGGGCUGGCCGCCGUGCUCGCCCGGCUGCGCGGACAGAUCGUGCUGCGGCCGUUCGACGUCGACCGGCUGCGCGC
rnacentral:tRNA from 1 species